AAGAAGAAGAAAAUGCCGCCGGAAUUUCGUAAAAUGGUGCAUCAGCUGGACGAUAGCCAUCGAGUCGUUUGGCCCAACGCAGACUAUUUCGGCAAUGCAAUGAAUGAUUUGAUUGACACGUACAUAACGAACGUAAAAAACAACUUGAAGACGCAUAGCAAGAAACGCCUGCGCGAAUGGCUGCGUGUAAAAGUGUUCGAAUCUUCGUUGGUUGCUCGAUACGAACAGGCUGACAUCGACCGUGUGAUUAGUUUGGCAAUUUUUGGCAAUGACGAUAUCACAAUCAAUGGCAUGGAUGAUGUUGCCAAACGUGAGCGGCGUACGUUGUUGAUUGGAAUGGUCACGAAGAACAGUUGGUGGGACAUACCAGACAACAACAUCGGCCUAUUCACAAAUGGGAAGGACUGGUUCAAGAGCAUCGCAUUCUGGAUUUCCCUCCAGCGGAAAAUUGAUGAUUUCAACACCUGCGAGGAAUAUCGUGAAGAACGCCGAUGCCAACGCGAAGAGUUUGAAGAGCUGAAACGAUGCCGACGUCGAAAUCACCGUCCGUGCACUUGCCAGCAGCCGACAGAUCGAGGCCAAAAUGGAAAUGAGUACAUUGAGAAAGGGCCGCCGAGAGUGAAAAAUCUGGCAGUGAUUCCCAUUUGCAGUUUCACUCGUACCCACUACACGUUGGACAAUCGAACAUUGUACUCUUUGUUGCGUCAACUUGGAAUCGUACCACUUAACAUCACAGAGGACGAGUUCAGAAAACAAAAGGAGUAUUAUUGGGGCCAAUACUUCGAUAUGCGGAAAAUCUAUCAUCUCGGUCGCAGUAGAAAAAAGUUCCGUUUCCGAAUUCUCUCGAAUGGACAGGCCGUAUCGCUACAAUUCGAUAUUGACAAAACGAAAAUGAGCAACAUGGAACCGGACAAAAAGGCCAUUGUUCAAAACUACAAGAAGUUUGUCAAUGAAGGUGCAACUGAUCCGGGUGUGAAUACGUGGAACGCAACAACGGUACACAACAUCGAAACUGGCAAAGAGACGAACUACACGAUCAGCAGCAAACAGUAUCAUUACUGGACGAAGCAAACGGUUCGAAAUCGACAGGGAAAGCGGUGGACCAAAGACUUUGUCAAGGAAGAGAGGCAGGAUCGUGAAAAUCGUGCGCUCUAUCCGGUGAUGCCAUCGCCAUUGGGUAGGCACUGGCAGAACUACAUUCGGCAUCGACUCAAAAUGACGGAACGUGGCAUUGCCGUGUAUACGACAGACAAAUACACGAGACUCAACUUUGACAAGUAUGUUCGAGCAAACAGUGUGACCGAUAGCAUAGCCGGAAUGUUGACCAACCAUCAGCCAACACUCAUGCAUUUCGGAGCUGCUCAAAUGUCGCCCAGUUCACCCAUCGGCAUCAAAAAGUCACUGCGUUGCCCGGGCAAUCGGAAAAUGAUACGAAGCUACAAAAAGUGUCGUGGUUGUAUGGUUAAUAUGGUCGACGAGUAUUACACUUCACAAACAUGCGCCAAGUGCUUUGGCCGUUUUGAUCGACGUACGAAACGACAUCGCUUCAAAGUCUGCCAUGAUUGUCGGCCGAAAUUGGUAGAAGCAAUGCUGCCAUCAAUGAUCGUGUGCAAGGUCAACAAACGAAAGAUGAGGCAAGAGAAGCUGAAACUGUUUUUGCUCGAGAAAGAAGCGGAAGAGGGCAACGGAAAUCCAGCGGUUGGCAAUGAUGUCCCACAUCCAGAUCAACUAAACCCAGAAUUACUCCCAAAAGUGGCAAUCUACCACAAAACAUGGCAUGUAAAUGAGUCUAGUAAAAUCGUGGAAUACGUGAAAUUCAAUUCAGCCGGUGAGAUGGAAGUUGUCGAGCCACGAGUACACAAGACGACAUGGCAUCGCGACAUAGCCGCUGCAAAAUGUAUCCUGAUCAAAGGACACUGUGACUUGUUUGGGGACGAGUUACCCGAAACAUUGCAGAGGCCAUCCAACCAGCGAGCUGCUGUCAACAACUAACCAGCAUCAUGUAUUUCACGCCAUUCACAAUGAAUAAUUUAAAAAUUAAAAUAUAACAUUAUGUUAUUUCCGCUAUGCCUGAUUGUUGUGGUAUAGUAGGCGUACAUACUUAACUAAGGAGGCCAGAAGUACCCAUGUAUAUGGGCUGGAACAAGAGAAGAUGACUGUGAAUUUUCUAAAAUAUGCAUCUUCUGCUACAUCUUAUGCUGCAUAUGCAUUUCGUUUCUUUUUUCUCUUUCUUUUUUUGGGACAUUCCAGUUUUGGUCUCUUCAAAAAUUAACACAAUUUCUGAGAUUCUCGUACGAUCUGAACACAUUCGGAUGCAAUAUGUUAAUAAAAAAACCAAAAAAAUGGAGAAAAAAAAAUAUAGAAUUCGAAUUCGCUACCCUAUGGAAUGGAAACAAAAAUCACUAAAUGUCUGGAACACAAUUUCCAAUUCGCAAUUUAUUCAACGAGACGUCAAAUGGUUUUUCGCCAUUUAGCAAAUCUCUGUCUUCAAAGCAGAAAAAAAUAGUGGUUCUAAAGUAAAGACGGAAAACCAUAUAAAAAUUGGAUUACGCAAAUCUCGAAAAAAUGAAUCUGGAAAACUAUCAUUUACGAUCCCCAGUCGAUUAUAUCGGUAAUUUACAAUAAAAAAAAAUGAUUGAUCACAUAAAUUCCAUAACUUUUUUUUGUAUCUUUUGUAUGUAUUUUUUUUGUCGUCUAAUAAAAAUGUAAGGCUGCCCAUUGGCUUCGAAGUAGCGAUUUCAGUUUGUUUGGUUUUUUUUUCAAUUUUAUUUUUUAAAUUUAUUUUGUCCUCUUUUUCACUAGGUUUUUUUAUUCAAGUUGUUUUGCUAUGAAUUAUAGAAAAAUUUGUUGAUCCAUAACGGUUUUUUUCGUUACUAAAAUUUGUACAUAACUUUUUGUUUACUUUCGUUUUGUUGUUGUAGAAAACAAUUGUAUGUUGUUCAUUUUGCAAUGGCUCCAGCCGAUUCAUUUGUACGGUGUUAAUAGUUGCAUUUUCUUUAGAAUGUUUUGCGGAUGAAUAUCGAUGAAGUUAGUCUGCAUUCGUUUCGUGAACGACGAAAAUGAGAGAACACAUUAUUUAGUACAAUAUGAUUUGUAGUUUUGGAUGACCUUCUGCGUUUUACUUUUGCUAUAUUUUGAUACUAGAUAAAGGAAAACACUGUCUAUCGGUUUAUGUUUUGUUUUUAUGAUGUUCUAUGAUUUGUGUAGAGUUAGAAGGCACCUCAGUUUGUAACAAUAUUUUUUUCUUCAUUUUGUUGUCAGUUUAUAUGUUUUGUUCGACUUGUUUUCUUUUUAUUUAGAUGUUAUUGCAUUCAUUUUCUAUUAUUGUUUCUAUAAAAUAUUACGGAUUUGAUUGAUA